rnacentral:rRNA from 1 species
GACGAACGCUGGCGGCGUGCCUAAUACAUGCAAGUCGAGCGCUGAAGGUUGGUACUUGUUCCUACUGGAUGAGCAGCGAACGGGUGAGUAACGCGUGGGUAACCUGCCUUUGAGCGGGGGACAACUUCUGGAAACGAAUGCUAAUACCGCAUAAAAACUUUAAACACAAGUUUUAAGUUUGAAAGAUGCAAUUGCAUCACUCAAAGAUGAUCCCGCGGUGUAUUAGCUAGUUGGUGAGGUAAAGGCCCACCAAGGCGAUGAUACAUAACCGACCUGAGAGGGUGGUCGGCCACAUUGGGAAUGAGACAAGGGCCAAACUCCCAAGGGAGGCAGCAGGAGGGGAUCUUCCGCAAUGGACGGAAGUCUGAACGGGCAAAGGCGGGGGGGUGGAGGAGGUUUUCGGGUCCUAAAACUCUGUUGGUAGGGGAGAACGUUGGUGGGAGUGGAAAGCUCAUCAAGUGACGGUAACUACUCAGAAAGGGACGGCUAACUACGUG